rnacentral:rRNA from 1 species
AUUGAACGCUGGCGGCAUGCCUUACACAUGCAAGUCGAACGGCAGCGGGCCUUCGGGUGCCGGCGAGUGGCGAACGGGUGAGUAAUGCAUCGGAACGUGCCAUUGAGUGGGGGAUAACGUAGCGAAAGUUGCGCUAAUACCGCAUAUUCUGUGAGCAGGAAAGCAGGGGACCGCAAGGCCUUGCGCUCUUUGAGCGGCCGAUGUCAGAUUAGCUAGUUGGUGAGGUAAAGGCUUACCAAGGCGACGAUCUGUAGCGGGUCUGAGAGGAUGAUCCGCCACACUGGAACUGAGACACGGUCCAGACUCCUACGGGAGGCAGCAGUGGGGAAUUUUGGACAAUGGGGGCAACCCUGAUCCAGCCAUGCCGCGUGAGUGAAG